UUCGCAAUGCCCGAAAGGGUGACGAAGCGACGCCGCGUGCGGGAAGAAGGCCUUCGGGUUGUAAACCGCUGUCGGGAGUUAAGAAAUGCAAGGGUGUUAACAGCAUCCUUGCUUGACUAAGGCUCCGGAGGAAGCCACGGCCAACUCUGUGCCAGCAGCCGCGGUAAUACAGAGGCGGCAAGCGUUGUUCGGAAUUAUUGGGCGUAAAGAGCACGUAGGCGGCUGUGUAAGUCGGUUGUGAAAGCCUUCCGCUCAACGGGAGAACGGCAUCCGAUACUGCAUGGCUAGAGUGCGGGAGGGGGGAGUGGAACUUCUGGUGGAGCGGUGAAAUGCGUAGAUAUCAGAAGGAACACCGGCGGCGAAAGCGACUCUCUGGCCCGUAACUGACGCUGAGUGUGCGAAAGCUAGGGGAGCAAACGGGAUUAGAUACCCCGGUAGUCCUAGCCGUAAACGAUGGGCACUAAGUAGAGGGGUUUU
rnacentral:rRNA from 1 species